UACGUAGGGGGCAAGCGUUGUCCGGAUUUAUUGGGCGUAAAGAGCGUGUAGGCGGCCGUACAGGUCAGCUGUGAAAACUCGAGGCUCAACCUCGAGACGUCGGUUGAAACCGUACGGCUAGAGUCCGGAAGAGGAGAGUGGAAUUCCCGGUGUAGCGGUGAAAUGCGUAGAUAUCAGGAAGAACACCCGUGGCUAAGGCGGCUCUCUAGUACGGUACUGACGCUGAGACGCGAAAGCGUGGGGAGCGAACAGG
rnacentral:rRNA from 1 species